CCUACGGGAGGCAGCAGUAGGGAAUCUUCCACAAUGGACGCAAGCCUGAUGGAGCAACGCCGCGUGAGUGAAGAAGGGUUUCGGCUCGUAAAGCUCUGUUGGUAGUGAAGAAGGAUCGAGGGAGUAACUGGCCUUUAUUUGACGGUAAUCACUUAGGAAGUCACGGCUAACUACGUGCCAGCAGCCGCGGUAAUACGUAGGUGGCAAGCGUUGUCCGGAUUUAUUGGGCGUAAAGCGAGUGCAGGCGGUUCAAUAAGUCUGAUGUGAAAGCCUUCGGCUCAACCGGAGAAUUGCAUCAGAAACUGUUGGACUUGAGUGCAGAAGAGGGGAGUGGAACUCCAUGUGUAGCGGUGGAAUGCGUAGAUAUAUGGAAGAACACCAGUGGCGAAGGCGGCUCUCUGGUCUGCAACUGACGCUGAGGCUCGAAAGCAUGGGUAGCGAACAGGAUUAGAUACCCUUGUAGUC
rnacentral:rRNA from 1 species